rnacentral:rRNA from 1 species
GACGAACGCUGGCGGCGUGCUUAACACAUGCAAGUCGAACGGAGAGGCCCUGCUUUUGUGGGGUGCUCGAGUGGAGAAAGGGUGAGUAACACGUGAGUAACCUGCCCUUGACUUUGGGAUAACUUCUGGAAACUGGGGCUAAUACCGGAUAUGAGCUCCUGCUGCAUGGGGGGGGUUGGAGAGUUUCGGCGGUUGGGUAUGGACUCGCGGCUUAUCAGCUUGUUGGUUGGGUAGUGGCUUACCAAGGCUUUGACGGGUAGCCGGCCUGAGAGGGUGACCGGCCCCAUGUGGCCUGAGAGACGGCCCAGGCGCCUACGGGAGGCAGGAGUGGAGAAUAUUGCACAAUGGGCGGAAGACUGAUGCAGCAACGCCGCGCGCGGGAUGACGGUCUUCGGGUAGAAAACCGCUUUCGCCGGAGACGAAGCGUGAGGACCGGAACUGGGUAAAGAAGCACCGCCAACCUACGU